rnacentral:rRNA from 1 species
GACGAACGCUGGCGGCGUGCUUAACACAUGCAAGUCGAACGGAAAGGCCCUGCUUUUGUGGGGUGCUCGAGUGGCGAACGGGUGAGUAACACGUGAGUAACCUGCCCUUGACUUUGGGAUAACUUCAGGAAACUGGGGCUAAUACCGGAUAGGAGCUCCUGCUGCAUGGUGGGGGUUGGAAAGUUUCGGCGGUUGGGGAUGGACUCGCGGCUUAUCAGCUUGUUGGUGGGGUAGUGGCUUACCAAGGCUUUGACGGGUAGCCGGCCUGAGCGGGUGACCGGCCACAUUGGGACUGAGAUACGGCGCAGACUCCAACGGGAGGCAGCAGUGGGGAAUAUUGCACAAUGGGCGGAAGCCUGAUGCAGCAACGCCGCGUGCGGGAUGACGGCCUUCGGGUUGUAAACCGCUUUCGCCUGUGACGAAGCGUGAGUGACGGUAAUGGGUAAAGAAGCACCGGCUAACUACGUG